rnacentral:rRNA from 1 species
GACGAACGCUGGCGGCGUGCUUAACACAUGCAAGUCGAACGGAAAGGCCCUGCUUUUGUGGGGUGCUCGAGUGGCGAACGGGUGAGUAACACGUGAGUAACCUGCCCUUGACUUUGGGAUAACUUCAGGAAACUGGGGCUAAUACCGGAUAGGAGCUCCUGCUGCAUGGUGGGGGUUGGAAAGUUUCGGCGGUUGGGGAUGGACUCGCGGCUUAUCAGCUUGUUGGUGGGGUAGUGGCUUACCAAGGCUUUGACGGGUAGCCGGCCUGAGAGGGUGACCGGCCACAUUGGGACUGAGAUACGGCCCAGACUCCUACGGGAGGCAGCAGUGGAGAAUAUUGCACAAUGGGCGAAAGCCUGAUGCAGCAACGCCGCGUGCGGGAUGACGGCCUUCGGGUUGUAAACCGCUUUCGCCUGUGACGAAGCGUGAGUGACGGUAAUGGGUAAAGAAGCACCGGCUAACUACGUG